GAUGAACGCUAGCAGCGGGCUUAACACAUGCAAGUCGAACGAGGAAGCCCAGCUUGCUUGCUUUAGUAUGGUCAAAGUGGUGAAUAACACGGGAGUAACCUGCCCUUCACUCUUUGAUAAGCCUGUGGAACGGGGACUGAUACUGGAUAUCACUUCGCAUCGCAUGGGAGGGGGUUGUAAGUGUUAUUGGUCUUGUAUGGACAGGCGGCCUAUCAGCUUGUUUGGGAGGUAAUUGAUCACCAAGGGUACGACGGGUAGCCGGCCUGAGAGGGUGACCGGCCCAACUGGGACUGAGACACGGCCGAGACCCCUACGGGAGGCAGGAGUGGGGAAUAUUGCACAAUGGGCGCAAGCCGGAUGCAGCGACGCCGCGUGAGGGAUGACGGCCUUCGGGUUGUAAACCUCUUUCAGUAGGGAAGAAGCGAGAGUGAGGGUACCUGAAGAAGAAGCGCCGGCUAACUACGUG
rnacentral:rRNA from 1 species